rnacentral:rRNA from 1 species
UGCAAGUCGAACGGUGAACACGGAGCUUGCUCUGUGGGAUCAGUGGCGAACGGGUGAGUAACACGUGAGCAACCUGCCCCUGACUCUGGGAUAAGCGCUGGAAACGGCGUCUAAUACUGGAUAUGUGACGUGACCGCAUGGUCUGCGUCUGGAAAGAAUUUCGGUUGGGGAUGGGCUCGCGGCCUAUCAGCUUGUUGGUGAGGUAAUGGCUCACCAAGGCGUCGACGGGUAGCCGGCCUGAGAGGGUGACCGGCCACACUGGGACUGAGACACGGCCCAGACUCCUACGGGAGGCAGCAGUGGGGAAUAUUGCACAAUGGGCGCAAGCCUGAUGCAGCAACGCCGCGUGAGGGACGACGGCCUUCGGGUUGUAAACCUCUUUUAGCAGGGAAGAAGCGAAAGUGACGGUACCUGCAGAAAAAGCGCCGGCUAACUACGUGCCAGCAGCCGCGGUAAUACGUAGGGCGCAAGCGUUAUCCGGAAUUAUUGGGCGUAAAGAGCUCGUAGGCGGUUUGUCGCGUCUGCUGUGAAAUCCGGAGGCUCAACCUCCGGCCUGCAGUGGGUACGGGCAGACUAGAGUGCGGUAGGGGAGAUUGGAAUUCCUGGUGUAGCGGUGGAAUGCGCAGAUAUCAGGAGGAACACCGAUGGCGAAGGCAGAUCUCUGGGCCGUAACUGACGCUGAGGAGCGAAAGGGUGGGGAGCAAACAGGCUUAGAUACCCUGGUAGUCCACCCCGUAAACGUUGGGAACUAGUUGUGGGGUCCAUUCCACGGAUUCCGUGACGCAGCUAACGCAUUAAGUUCCCCGCCUGGGGAGUACGGCCGCAAGGCUAAAACUCAAAGGAAUUGACGGGGACCCGCACAAGCGGCGGAGCAUGCGGAUUAAUUCGAUGCAACGCGAAGAACCUUACCAAGGCUUGACAUAUACGAGAACGGGCCAGAAAUGGUCAACUCUUUGGACACUCGUAAACAGGUGGUGCAUGGUUGUCGUCAGCUCGUGUCGUGAGAUGUUGGGUUAAGUCCCGCAACGAGCGCAACCCUCGUUCUAUGUUGCCAGCACGUAAUGGUGGGAACUCAUGGGAUACUGCCGGGGUCAACUCGGAGGAAGGUGGGGAUGACGUCAAAUCAUCAUGCCCCUUAUGUCUUGGGCUUCACGCAUGCUACAAUGGCCGGUACAAAGGGCUGCAAUACCGCGAGGUGGAGCGAAUCCCAAAAAGCCGGUCCCAGUUCGGAUUGAGGUCUGCAACUCGACCUCAUGAAGUCGGAGUCGCUAGUAAUCGCAGAUCAGCAACG